UGUUACACAUUUUAUACAUUCCUGAGUUUGGGUUCAUUAUAUACUCUUUGAAUAUUCUCUUCCAGAUGCCUCCUGCAAAAAUAGUUAGAGAAAAUGCUAAUUACAUGAUAUAAGCAGUUUUGGAGAGUUCUCCAGCUUUUGAUGAGAAAAACUACUUAUUUCUGAGGAAGAAUGAAGAAUGGAAGAAUGAACAAACUGCAGAUGCACCUUCCAAGAGGAACCAGCCAAUCUCCAUCAGCUCC